ensembl:lncRNA
ACCCCCCCCACACUAACACAUCAACUCAACCCUCCCCAACAACAGUGAGACCCCCCCGCACUAACAGUCACUUACACAUCAACUCACUUAAAAGCCAAUAUACCUUUUGAUAAAUGACCUGCCCUGCGGCUAUCGAAUGCCACUUAAGUGACCCUCCCAGCGCCUACUGCGAAAGGUGGAAAGGUAGAAGCUCUUAAAAAGGAACUUCAGCAGCCUGAGGAAGAGAAAUGUGAAGUUUGAAAAUGUUCCAUUUCAGUUUUAUUUCCAUUUCAGAAAAUAUAUUCCACAACUAAAGACUAUCUAAGAUUGUACCUUCAUCCAGACAUGCAGUGACCUUUAUUUUAGCAUUAUCGCUGGGAAAUCUCAGAUACUGAAAUGAGAUCUCCUCUAGAUAGCACACCGGACCCUAUUUUGAUGGCGAAAGCGGCUGGAGGAAAUGUCAGCGCCUAUGCACUGUUGCACAAGCGGUAAAGCGAGCGGUAAAGGUGUGAUCAAAGGCAUUAAGAUGGCAUAGCCAGGGUUUGGUUAAAGCCGUCCAAUAGAAUUGUCAAGCAAUCCCUUGGUAUUGAUUGCGUCAGACUAAAUUACAAUGUGCCCGGGCUUCUGUAGCUGUUUCGGGGGGCCUGUUUCAAAAUGCCCUACCACAACCCUUCAUACUGACUGUCAUAUGGUUUAUCAGGGUAGUCUAUGUGAGUUUGAGGCCUGUACAAAGAAAGUGUUUUGCUCACUUAGAUUCCAUGACAAUCUAAGGUUUAUUUUAUUUCAUUGAGCUCGAUAUAGCCCGUCUCGUGUAGGCCUAGAUCCUGGAGAAUUUAUUUUGGACUACAAUGUACAAGAUGCGAUCAAAAGGUUCUGAGACUGCGGCUAUAAAUAGCAAAGCUGAUUCAAAUUUGGCUGCCAUCUCUUUUGAGUCAGCUUUGUAGGGAUACAUCGUUCCCAGUGUAGGGAUACAUCGUUCCCAGUGUAGGGAUACAUCGCUCCCAGUGCAGGCAUACACCGCUCCCAGUGCAGGCAUACACCGCUCCAAGCUUUCCUGCCACGCUUGGGGCGCUCCCUGGAAGGUUUGGCUGACUAAACAUCCCAAAACGAUACGGGAUAUUCCACAGACGAGGGAAAACCGAUGCGUAAAAUGCAAGAGCAGCAGUGAUCAGUAGCCUACGUGAAUGGGGAGCGCAUAAGAUAUAGUAUGGGAGGUUUGUUUAUGUUGAUGAAUUUGAACAGCAGCAUGAAUCUGAAUACAACCUAUUUCUGCAUUCUGUUGCAGCCAAGAUAUCUUUUGUGGAAAAUGUACUGGUGUGCAACAUUGGAUGCCAUUCGUUUAAUGCUUACUGAACAUUUAAUUCAAGUCGGACAAAGACUUGACUACGGCCUCCCAGAUGCUCAAGUCUUUCAAGGGGUUUUAACCUUUUAAAACAAACAUUUCAUUCUUUUUAAAACCAUGGCAGGAUAUACGUUACCUUAGACUGGAUAUCUUAGAUGGAUUUAUUGCAUUAACCCAUAGCACAGGUUUGCUCCUGCUUCCUUGCUAAUACAGAAAUAUGCAGGCGUAAUGC